AGAUAUCUGCAUCCUCCCUCUCUGUCUCUGCGAGAUGGUGUCUGGGUUCUGGGUGGCCGUUGUGGCUCAUGCGCUCCCCUCAGCGCCGGGAGAAGAUGGGACUCUCAGGUCAUUAGCAUCUCUGCAUCUUGGCUGCUUGCUGCUGUGGUUGUGGCCGGGACACCCCCUGGGUUAUAUCCAACUCAUCCCCCCCACCCCCCGAGUCCUGUGAGUGCCCGCUGCUGAGGCUCUAUCUACUGAGGUUCCUACUGGUUGGAAGGGCCUGCUGGUGCUUCUUCAUGACUCAGCCUCUGCUCUGGCUGCCGCUACAGCCCCCACAACCCCAUCUGACUCUUGCCCAGAAUGUCCACCACGAGUCUUGUUGCUGACUCACCUUUCCCUCCCUCGUGAUCGCUGAUGCCUGGAGGCCUGUUGGCUGUCAAAUCAGCUACUUCCCUGGCCUCUAAUCAGGAGCAGAAUCAUGCUGUGCUGUUGAGUUCAACCCAGAUACAGCCGCUCCCAGGGCGAUGCCCGCCAACCUGCAGGAGGAGCCCCUCCCCGAGGCCCAGAGAAGUCUGCAGAGGCCCUGGCCUUCCUCCGCCUGCUCAGCACACCUCCCGCCGUGGGUGGAAUCCUGAGCCGGGGAUCAGUCACCUCUGACGCUCCCCAGCCACCUCUCUCACCCUUUCCCCUGUGUAUUCCACCAGGACGGACGGGGGAUGUUCCUCUUUCUUUUCCUGCCCACGCCAGGACUUCCCCGUGUAAAACGGUGAUCGGGGUUGAUGUUCCAUAGACGCCUGCAGGGCGGGACCACAGCCCUGUGGGGAGACCGCAUCUGUCCAGUGAAUGGCCAGGAGAAGAUGUAGGUCUGCAGACAGGAAACCAGAGCUCUGAGGACAAAUCUCAACAAACAGGUGAAAGGGCUCUUUCCCAUCCUCCAGGUCCCUGACUCACAGGGGCCUUCGGACUAGUAAGGGCUUCCCAGGUGUGGGCUCAUUUUCUCCCCCGAGGAGUCAGGCCCUGGGCCUGUGAAGGGAGACUUCGCUGCAGGACUGUGCUUCCCCAGCCCUACAGUUUGGAAGAUGGGUGUAAUGAGAUGUUGUCAAUGGGAGGACUGGCAUUGCCAAGCAAGUAUCUUUAAACCACUAUUUUUACUAUCAAGGUUUGUUAUUAUUUUUUAC